UACGUAGGGGGCGGGCGUUAUCCGGAUUCAUUGGGCGUAAAGCGCGCGUAGGCGGCCGCCUAAGCGGAACCUCUAACCCCGGGGCUCAACCUCGGGCCGGGUUCCGGACUGGGCGGCUCGAGUGCGGUAGAGGAGAGCGGAAUUCCCGGUGUAGCGGUGGAAUGCGCAGAUAUCGGGAAGAACACCGAUGGCGAAGGCAGCUCUCUGGGCCGUCACUGACGCUGAGGCGUGAAAGCUGGGGGAGCGAACAGG
rnacentral:rRNA from 1 species